UUUAAAUUGAGAGUUUGAUCCUGGCUCAGGAUGAACGCUGGCGGCGUGCUUAACACAUGCAAGUCGAGCGAUGAAGUUUCCUUCGGGAAACGGAUUAGCGGCGGACGGGUGAGUAACACGUGGGUAACCUGCCUCAUAGAGUGGAAUAGCCUUCCGAAAGGAAGAUUAAUACCGCAUAAUGUUGAAAGAUGGCAUCAUCAUUCAACCAAAGGAGCAAUC
rnacentral:rRNA from 1 species